rnacentral:lncRNA from 1 species
GGUGAACUCAAGUCAACAAGCAACCUAAUGCGAAACUAAAUCUCCCAAAAUGGUCAGAUAAGUUAAGAUGAGUGGAGGUCUCCCUGUUGCUUUUCUUAGAUACCAAUCAAAUUGAUCAGGUCAAACAAUAGAAUUAAUUAAAUAAUCAUCAUUUAGAUACUUGCCUUGGACACCAAAUUGAUCGAUUAGAAUCGAUCAAGUUAACCUAUUGAAACGGAUCCGAACCACUG